rnacentral:rRNA from 1 species
CCAGCCCGCUCAGAAACUCAAAGGAAUUGACGGGGGCCCGCACAAGCGGUGGAGCAUGUGGUUUAAUUCGACGCAACGCGAAGAACCUUACCUGGGCUUGACAUCCCGAUCGCACCUUAUGGAAACAUAGGGGUCAGUUCGGCUGGAUCGGUGACAGGUGCUGCAUGGCUGUCGUCAGCUCGUGUCGUGAGAUGUUGGGUUAAGUCCCGCAACGAGCGCAACCCUUGUCCUUAGUUGCCAGCAUUCAGUUGGGCACUCUAAGGAGACUGCCGGUGUCAAACCGGAGGAAGGUGGGGAUGACGUCAAGUCCUCAUGGCCCUUAUGUCCAGGGCUACACACGUGCUACAAUGGCCGGUACAAAGGGGCGCAAGACCGCGAGGUGGAGCAAAUCCCAAAAAACCGGUCUCAGUUCGGAUUGGAGUCUGCAACUCGACUCCAUGAAGUUGGAAUCGCUAGUAAUCGCGUAUCAGCAUGACGCGGUGAAUACGUUCCCGGGCCUU